AUUGAACGCUGGCGGCAGGCCUAACACAUGCAAGUCGAGCGGAUGAAGGGAGCUUGCUCCUGGAUUCAGCGGCGGACGGGUGAGUAAUGCCUAGGAAUCUGCCUGGUAGUGGGGGAUAACGUCCGGAAACGGGCGCUAAUACCGCAUACGUCCUGCGGGAGAAAGUGGGGGGGCUUCGGACCGCUCGCUACAAGAUGGGCGUAGGUGGGAUGAGCUAGUUGGUGGGGUAAGGACCUACCAAGCCGAGGAUCGGUAACUGGUCGGAGAGGAGGAUCAGUCACACUGGAGCUGAGACACGGUCCAGACUCCUACGGGAGGCAGCAGUGGGGAAUAUUGGACAAUGGGCGAAAGCAUGAUCCAGCCAUGCCGCGUGUGUGAAGAAGGUCUUCGGAGUGUAAAGCACUUUAAGUUGGGAGGAAGGGCAGUAAGUUAAUACCUUGCUGUUUUGACGUUACCAACAGAAUAAGCACCGGCUAACUUCGUG
rnacentral:rRNA from 1 species